UAACACGUAGGUAACCUGCCCAUGUGCCCGGGAUAACUUCUGGAAACGGAUGCUAAAACCGGAUAGGUAGCAGACAAGCAUUUGACUGCUAUUAAAGUGGCUAAGGCCAUGAACAUGGAUGGACCUGCGGUGCAUUAGCUAGUUGGUGAGGUAACGGCCCACCAAGGCGACGAUGCAUAGCCGGCCUGAGAGGGCGGACGGCCACAUUGGGACUGAGACGCGGCCCAAACUCCUACGGGAGGCAGCAUG
rnacentral:rRNA from 1 species